ACGCACGCUGGCGGCGUGCUUCACCCAUGCAAGUCGCACGAAAAGAGGGAAAGAGCCUGCUCUUUCCGGAAUUGAGUGGCAAACGGGUGAGUAACACGUAAACAACCUGCCUUCAGGAUGGGGACAACAGACGGAAACGACUGCUAAUACCGAAUAAGUUCCAAGAGCCGCAUGGCCCAUGGAAGAAAAGGUGGCCUCUACCUGUAAGCUAUCGCCUGAAGAGGGGUUUGCGUCUGAUUAGCUGGUUGGAGGGGUAACGGCCCACCAAGGCGACGAUCAGUAGCCGGUCUGAGAGGAUGAACGGCCACACUGGAACUGAGACACGGUCCAGACUCCUACGGGAGGCAGCAGUGGGGAAUCUUCCGCAAUGGGCGAAAGCCUGACGGAGCAACGCCGCGUGAGUGAUGACGGCCUUCGGGUUGUAAAACUCUGUGAUCCGGGACGAAAAGGCAGAGUGCGAAGAACAAACUGCAUUGACGGUACCGGAAAAGCAAGCCACGGCUAACUACGUG
rnacentral:rRNA from 1 species